CCUACGGGAGGCAGCAGUGAGGAAUAUUGGUCAAUGGGCGAGAGCCUGAACCAGCCAAGUCGCGUGAAGGAUGAAGGCUCUAUGGUUUGUAAACUUCUUUUAUAUGGGAAUCAAGUGAGGAACGUGUUCCUUUUUUUAUGUACCAUAUGAAUAAGCAUAGGCUAACUCCGUUCCAGCAGCCGCGGUAAUACGGAGGCUGCGAGCGUUAUCCGGAUUUAUUGGGUUUAAGGGGUGCGGUGGGGGUUAAUUAAGUCAGCGGUGAAAGUUUGUGGCUCAACCAUAAAAUUGCCGUUGAAACUGGUUGACGUGAGGAUAUUUGAGGUAGGCGGAAUGCGUGGUGUAGCGGUGAAAUGCAUAGAUAUCACGCAGAACUCCGAUUGCGAAGGCAGCUUACUAAACUAUAACUGACACUGAAGCACGAAAGCGUGGGGAUCAAACAGGAGUAGAUACCCCAGUAGUC
rnacentral:rRNA from 1 species